rnacentral:rRNA from 1 species
UACAGAGGGUGCGAGCGUUAAUCGGAAUUACUGGGCGUAAAGCGCACGUAGGUGGCGACGUAAGUCGGGUGUGAAAGCCCCGGGCUCAACCUGGGAAUUGCAUUCGAGACUGCAUUGCUGGAGUACGGAAGAGGAAGGCGGAAUUCCCGGUGUAGCGGUGAAAUGCGUAGAUAUCGAGAGGAACACCGGUGGCGAAGGCGGCCUUCUGGACGAUGACUGACGCUGAGACGCGAAAGCGUGGGGAGCAAACAGG